UAACCCUUGAUGAGUUAAAUGGCGUCCAGUAUUAGAGUUAUUUCCAAUAGUUGAUUGCGCCAGGGUUGAUUUUACUUGUUAAGUAUUGUUUUAACAUUUGCUGAGUUAAAUGGUUUCCAGUGUUCGAGUUAUUUUCCAUAACUGAUUCCAAUUGAAUCAACUCUGAGGAAAAUAAGCUCAUCCCUCCUUCAUUGUCUUCCUUGGAGUAAAAUUGGAAAACCGCUCCCUUUUUCUUCUUCUCCUGUUGUUCUAAACGCUAGUUGAAGUGCCCUACAAAAGAUGUCUGGUGGUGAAGAAGUUCUGCAAGAGUGUGGAACAAUAGAAACCCUCAGUUUUGCCAUAAGAAGACAAGUGGUGAACAUACUGAUGGCUCACAGGUUUAAUAAACAUAGGCACCUUCCUGCUAAACAAAUCAGAGAGAACUACCUGAGGUUGGUGACAUCUCCUUCCAAAACCACCUGAGGUCUCCAGGAAUCAGUGCAUGGGAUGCAGUCGAGAGACUUGCUGUCUUUUAUAAGUCAUGCUGCAGUUUAGAGGAACAUCUCCGGGACCAACAGGGUCUGCAGCCAUACCUCCUUGCUGUUUGAUGUCAG